rnacentral:sRNA from 1 species
ACUACCGGAAACAUCGCAAGCCCUACCUCUCUUGCGACCAUAUGGCUCCGAAGACCAUGCCUGUUUGAAUCCUAGUUCACUUGUUUGAA